CGCAUAAUUAAUUAAUUACAAUUUUUAAAAAUAUUAAAAAAUAAAAAUAAAGGAAAUUAUUAAAAAUUUCAAAAGUUUAUUAAAAAAAAGGAAAUACAGAAAAAAAUAUUAAAAAAUAAAUCCUAAAAACCAUGCAACUCUUCUCACAUGCAAUCUUCAACAGCUUUAGAAAUUAGAACCCAUUUUGUUCAACGCCCGCUUAUCAACCAUGCUUAAAUUCCUUAGCAAGAAAAUCAAGCGCCUCUUUGUUCCCGCCUCUGGUGGCCGUUCGUCAUCGGUUCGUCGCAUCCAGUGAGUUUUCCAACAAAUAUGGGAAAUGGAACCGAUGGUUGCGAGAGAUAUAGAAGCAGAAAGACGGCGAUAAAAGCCUAAAAACUUUGAUGCAUAGUUACAUACAAUUGCUAAUGGGGUGGGGGAGCUACUCUAAUUUUUUUUAUAGUUAUUGAUAAACUAAUUAUUGAAUUAUAUGUUAGCAAUAAUUAAAUUGGAAAGAUUGCAAAAGUUCAAAAGUUAAGUAUCGUGAAAUUAAUGUAAAGAGAACUAAUUUGCAAAUAGCAUAAAAAUUAAAAGUGUGAAAUAAAAAUACUUGAAUUGAGAGUUUGAAUGAAUAGUUUAUGAUUGUGAAUUUAGUUCUAAGUGAAAUAAAAGUGAUAAUUUAAUGAAUAUUGAUUUUCAUGAAAAUAAUAAAUAAAUUGUAAAGAAUGUGAAGUUUUAUAUGCUAUUAAUUAAU
rnacentral:lncRNA from 1 species